rnacentral:lncRNA from 1 species
GUAUUUUAUUAAAAAAAAUUUAGUAUUAGGCAAACUGAAAUAGGGGAAAAAAAAAAAAGGGAAAGAGCAUUUAAAAUUGACAGGAGAUGUCGAAGCGUAGAUGUAGUAGGAUGAACAGCAAAAGAUUGCGGAUGACCAUUGAGAGGUAUGGGAAGAAGCAUGGAACAACCCUUCGGGAUCAACAGGUUCAAAUAUCCGAUGCGGCGCAGGAGACGAAACGAUAUUGAAUCGAUAUCAUUUUUCCGUCUGGAGGGGGAAUCAACUGACGGGAAUGAAUCGGCGUAACUGGAAACAGUGGGAGUGAAGAAGGAUCGA